GGAUUAGAUACCCUGGUAGUCCACACCGUAAACGCUGUCUAUUAGCUGUUUGUGUAUCUGAUACGUGAGUAGCUAAGCUAACGCGCUAAAUAGACCGCCUGGGGAGUACGGCCGCAAGGUUAAAACUCAAAUGAAUUGACGGGGGCCCGCACAAGCGGUGGAGCAUGUGGUUUAAUUCGAUGCAACGCGAAGAACCUUACCUACACUUGACAUCCAGAGAACUUAGCAGAGAUGCUUUGGUGCCUUCGGGAGCUCUGAGACAGGUGCUGCAUGGCUGUCGUCAGCUCGUGCCG
rnacentral:rRNA from 1 species